rnacentral:rRNA from 1 species
UCUGGUUGAUCCUGCCAGUAGUCAUAUGCUUGUCUCAAAGAUUAAGCCAUGCAUGUCUAAGUAUAAGCAAUUUAUACAGUGAAACUGCGAAUGGCUCAUUAAAUCAGUUAUCGUUUAUUUGAUAGUUUCUUUACUACAUGGAAUACCUGUGGUAAUUCUAGAGCUAAUACAUGCUUAAAAUCCCAACUUACGAAGGGAUGUAUUUAUUAGAUAAAAAAUCAAUGUCUUCGGACUUCUGAUGAUUCAUAAUAACUUUUCGAAUCGCAUGGCUUUAUGCUGGCGAUGGUUCAUUCAAAUUUCUGCCCUAUCAACUUUUGAUGGUAGGAUAGUGGCCUACCAUGGUUUCAACGGGUAACGGGGAAUAAGGGUUCGAUUCCGGAGAGGGAGCCUGAGAAACGGCUACCACAUCCAAGGAAGGCAGCAGGCGCGCAAAUUACCCAAUCCUAAUUCAGGGAGGUAGUGACAAUAAAUAACGAUACAGGGCUUUAUGUCUUGUAAUUGGAAUGAGUACAAUUUAAAUACCUUAACGAGGAACAAUUGGAGGGCAAGUCUGGUGCCAGCAGCCGCGGUAAUUCCAGCUCCAAUAGCGUAUAUUAAAGUUGUUGCAGUUAAAAAGCUCGUAGUUGAACUUUGGGCUUGGAGAAUCGGUCCAACUUUGUUGUGUACUGUCUUCUCCAGGUCUUUCCUUCUGGUUCUCAUUUGGGGUUUACUCCAUUUGUUGAUCCAGGUAUUUUUACUUUGAAAAAAUUAGAGUGUUCAAAGCAGGCGUUUUGCUCGAAUAUAUUAGCAUGGAAUAAUAGAAUAGGACGAUUGGUUCUAUUUUGUUGGUUUCUAGGACCAUCGUAAUGAUUAAUAGGGACGGUCGGGGGCAUCAGUAUUCAGUUGUCAGAGGUGAAAUUCUUGGAUUUACUGAAGACUAACUACUGCGAAAGCAUUUGUCAAGGACGUUUUCAUUAAUCAAGAACGAAAGUUAGGGGAUCGAAGAUGAUCAGAUACCGUCGUAGUCUUAACCAUAAACUAUGCCGACUAGGGAUCGGGCGGUGCCUUUUAUUGGCCCACUCGGCACCUUACGAGAAAUCAAAGUUUUUGGGUU